rnacentral:rRNA from 1 species
GUCUAUGGCCAUACUACCCUGAACAAGCCCGAUCCCGUCUGAUCUUGGAAGCUAAGCAGGGUCGGGCCUGGUUAGUACUUAGAUGGGAGACCACCUAGGAAGACCAGGUGCUGUAAGCA